rnacentral:rRNA from 1 species
UGGGGAAUAUUGGACAAUGGGGGCAACCCUGAUCCAGCGAUGCCGCGUGGGUGAAGAAGGCCUUCGGGUUGUAAAGCCCUUUAGGUUGGGAAGAAGUGUGAGUACUGAAUAAGUGCUUGCAUUGACGGUACCGACAGAAUAAGCACCGGCAAACUCUGUGCCAGCAGCCGCGGUAAUACAGAGGGUGCAAGCGUUAAUCGGAAUUACUGGGCGUAAAGGGCGCGUAGGCGGAAGCAUGAGUGCGAUGUGAAAGCCCUGGGCUUAACCUGGGAAGUGCAUCGCAAACUAUGUAACUAGAGUAUAAGAGAGGGUGUUGGAAUUUCCGGUGUAGCGGUGAAAUGCGUAGAGAUCGGAAGGAACGUCGAUGGCGAAGGCAGACACCUGGCUUAAUACUGACGCUGAGGCGCGAAAGCGUGGGUAGCGAACA